GACGAACGCUGGCGGCGUGCCUAAUACAUGCAAGUAGACCGCUGAAGGAGGAGCUUGCUUCUCCGGAUGAGUUGCGAACGGGUGAGUAACGCGUAGGUAACCUGCCUGGUAGCGGGGGAUAACUAUUGGAAACGAUAGCUAAUACCGCAUAACAGUAGAUGUUGCAUGACAUUUGCUUAAAAGGUGCAAUUGCAUCACUACCAGAUGGACCUGCGUUGUAUUAGCUAGUUGGUGAGGUAACGGCUCACCAAGGCGACGAUACAUAGCCGACCUGAGAGGGUGAUCGGCCACACUGGGACUGAGACACGGCCCAGACUCCUACGGGAGGCAGCAGUAGGGAAUCUUCGGCAAUGGACGGAAGUCUGACCGAGCAACGCCGCGUGAGUGAAGAAGGUUUUCGGAUCGUAAAGCUCUGUUGUAAGAGAAGAACGAGUGUGAGAGUGGAAAGUUCACACUGUGACGGUAUCUUACCAGAAAGGGACGGCUAACUACGUG
rnacentral:rRNA from 1 species